GGGUACUUCCCGGUAGCCGGGUUGAGAACCAGUGCCCCGCGCUCAAGGAGGUGGGCUUCGGAAGCGAGUACCCGGAGGGGGGCUCUCCCAGGAAACCCCGUGCUGGCCACCACACUUCCACCAGUGACUGCGCAGGCUGGGAAGUGGAGAGGUCACGUGUUGGCGGAAACUUUGAAUGUGAUGGGACUAGCUAUUUGAAGUUCCUGUUUUGAGUUCUCAAACCCAGUGAUGGACUGUAACCUGAAAUUAUAAGACAAAUAACAAUCCCAAAGGAAGUAAGCAGGAGAAAGAAACAGUUUAUUGUAGUGUCUCCUUGGAAACAUCUGACAGGGUGCAGGUUUUAUACCUGGAACUAAGGUGAAAUCCAAUCCCAAGGCCCCCUGUUCAUUAAAAAGGCCCACAGCAUUGCUUAGAAGUGUCAGAAGCUGGCUUGACUGAAUUCUAGCAGGGAUAAUUGCAUUCCAACUGCCUCAGGUUCCAUUGUAUUCGUCAAUUCAAUAAGAGGAUUCCUAGAUCCCCUAGACUCCUCCAUAACAGCUAGAACCACAGCUGGAUGUUUAGAUAAAGCGGAUAAAACACUGAAGUUCCCACACAGAACAUGUGAGGUGCUACUGAGCAGCUUAAUACACUGCAAGGAACACUUCCCUUGAUGAUGAAAACAGUAUUUGUAAG